CCUACGGGAGGCAGCAGUGAGGAAUAUUGGUCAAUGGGCGAGAGCCUGAACCAGCCAAGUCGCGUGAGGGAGUACUGCCCUAUGGGUUGUAAACCUCUUUUGUCGGGGAGCAAAAGCCGGACGUGUCCGGCUGUGAGAGUACCCGAAGAAAAAGCAUCGGCUAACUCCGUGCCAGCAGCCGCGGUAAUACGGAGGAUGCGAGCGUUAUCCGGAUUUAUUGGGUUUAAAGGGUGCGCAGGCGGAUUUUUAAGUCAGCGGUAAAAUCGUGGGGCUCAACCCCAUCCAGCCGUUGAAACUGGGGAUCUAGAGUGUGCGAGAGGUAUGCGGAAUGCGUGGUGUAGCGGUGAAAUGCAUAGAUAUCACGCAGAACCCCGAUUGCGAAGGCAGCAUACCGGUGCACAACUGACGCUCAGGCACGAAAGCGUGGGUAUCGAACAGGAUUAGAUACUCCAGUAGUC
rnacentral:rRNA from 1 species